CAUCAGCAGUAGCUGCCAGCCAGACCUGCGGGCGGCAACAGCAGCCUGGAGGCUCAGUGCACUUGCGCCAUCUGCGUGGAGGUGUACCACCGCCCAGUGGUCUUUGGCAGAUGCGGCCACACACUCUGUGGGGAGUGUCUCCAGCCAUGUCUGCAGGUGCCUUGCCCCCUGUGCCCACUCUGCCGCCUGCCCUUUGACCUCAAGAAAGUGGACAAGGCCACCCUUGUGGAGAAGCACCUGUCAUCAUACAAAGCACCCUGCCAGGGAUGCAACAAGAAGGUGACCCUGGCAAACAUGAGAGUGCACAUGACCUCCCGCCUGAAGGUCCAGGAACAGGUGGCCAACUGCUCCAAGUUUGUUCCUGUGGUGUCCACAUCCCAGCCCAAUCCGAGCAUCAUCCCCACUGUGGUGCCCGAAACCUAGUCCAGCAGGAGCUGGUGAAGCACUGCAUGGAGAGCCACGGCAGUGUCCCAAACCGCGUGGUGUGUCCCAUCUGCUCAGUGAUACCCUGGGGCAACCCAAGCUACAAGAGCGCCAACUUCCUGCAGCACCUGCUGAACAGGCACAAGUGCUCCUAUGACACCUUCAUGAUGGGUGACUACAGCAUCAAUGAAGAAGCUGCCUUCCAGGCUGCCUUCACCCUGCCCCUCACUGAAAACUGA